rnacentral:rRNA from 1 species
AACGUAGGACACAAGCGUUAUCCGGAGUUACUGGGCGUAAAGGGCGUGUAGGCGGACGUGUAAGUCUAUUCUGAAAGCUCCUGGCUAAACUGGGAGAGGCGAAUGGAGACUGCAUAUCUAGAGUGAGGAAGAGGAAAGUGGAAUUCCGCGUGUAGUGGUGAAAUGCGUAGAUAUCAGGAAGAACACCAACGGCGAAGGCAGCUCGCUGGGACGGUACUGACGCUGAGACGCGAAAGCGUGGGGAGCGAACAGG